CCAGACCCCAAGGUCCUUGACAACACCAGGAGGGUCUUUAAAGGUGAAUUUCAGCUACCUGAGUUUCUAAGAGAACAAUCUCAGCUUCAGAAGACUCCGGAGAAACCAAACCCCAGUUAGGAGGAGCAACCAACAUGCCACACAGACAAGACGGGGCACCGGUGGACAGACAAUACACUCACCACCACUUUUUGGGGACCUCAUUACUCUUCCAUGGACACACCCACAUACUCUAUAUAUACAAAAGUAUGUGGACAACCCUUCAAAUUAGUGGAUUAGUCUAUUUCAGCCACACCCGUUGCUGACAGGUGUAUAAAAUCGAGCACACUGCUGUGCAAUCUCCAUAGACAAACAUUGGCAGUAGAAUGGCCCCGAACUGAAGAGCUCAGUGACUUACAACGUGGCACUGUUAUAGGACGCCACCUUUCUGCCCUGCUCGAGCUGCCCCGGUCAACUGUAAGUGCUGUUAUUAUGAAGUGGAAACGUCUUGGAGGAAUCAACGUCAAAGCCACGAAAUGGUAGGCCCACACAAGGUCACAGAACUGGAGUGCUGAAGCGCGUAAAAAUCAUUGCAAACACUCACUCACGAGCCCCUGGAAGUAACUUAAGCACAAGAACUGUUCAUCAGGGGAGCUACAUGAAACGGGUUUCCGUGGCAGAGCAGCCGCACACAAGCCUAAGAUCACCAAGCGUCGGCUGUAGUGGUGUAAAGGUCGCCGCCAUUGGACUCUGGAUCAGUGGACCAACUCCAUAUUAAUGCCCGUGAUUUUGGAAUGAGAUGUUCUACGAGCAGGUGUCCGCAUACUUUUGGUCAUAGUGUAUAACAUCAUGACUGGAUAUAACCGUAUUCCACACUGACUUUGUGGAGAACUCUCUUGGCCUUUUGAUGUUCGUACUGUAAACAAAUGAUGCAUUUGUCACAAAAUGGUGACCAGAGAAUGUCUAUGUUACUAUCUUUCUUGUCGAGGGUUGCAUUUCCCCAAUUUCCUAGAUUUUCCAAAAAAAUCCCAGUUGGGAGAUUCCUUCAACCAGGAUUUCUGGAAAACCAUUGAAAUAUUUUGAAAGUUACCAGAAUUUUGAAAAACAAUUCUUGUGACACCAUGCUCAUCCAAAUGUUUGUUUUUUUCUUCUUUUAAAUGAUUUCUCCUGGCUAUAUAUAUAUAAAUAUAUAUAUAUAUAUAUAAAUCUGUGAUUCUGUUGUAAGAAAAUACAGUGGACUUAAACAUCAAAAAAAGUGAGUAAUGUAUUUAUGGAUGACAUUUUGCUUUUUGAAGAUGCAAUAUCUAUUUUAAUGUUUGUUUUUCAUGCCUUUCUAUAGUGCAAUUCCAUGGGUACGGAUGUACAAGAUCUGUUUUUAAGUAUUGACAGUGAUAAAGAUGGCAUUUUGUAAA